rnacentral:rRNA from 1 species
GAUGAACGCUAGCUACAGGCUUAACACAUGCAAGUCGAGGGGCAGCACAAGGCAGCAAUGCUGAGGUGGCGACCGGCGCACGGGUGCGUAACGCGUAUCCAACCUUCCCGUUACUCUUGGAUAGCCUUCCGAAGGGAGAUUAAUACAAGAUGGUGUUGAAAUUCCGCAUGUUAUUUCAACUAAAGAUUUAUCGGUACGGAUGGGGAUGCGUGACAUUAGAUAGAUGGCGGGGUAACGGCCCACCAUGUCCACGAUGUCUAGGGGUUCUGAGAGGAAGGUCCCCCACACUGGAACUGAGACACGGUCCAGACUCCUACGGGAGGCAGCAGUGAGGAAUAUUGGUCAAUGGCCGGAAGGCUGAACCAGCCAAGUAGCGUGAAGGAUGAAGGUUCUAUGGAUUGUAAACUUCUUUUAUACGGGAAUAAAACCUCCCACGUGUGGGAGCUUGUAUGUACCGUAUGAAUAAGCAUCGGCUAACUCCGUGCCAGCCGCCGCGGUAACAC